rnacentral:sRNA from 1 species
AGCGUGCUCCGGGCGUCGGCCUG